GAUGAACGCUGGCGGCGUGCCUAAUACAUGCAAGUCGAGCGAAUGGAUUAAGAGCUUGCUCUUAUGAAGUUAGCGGCGGACGGGUGAGUAACACGUGGGUAACCUGCCCAUAAGACUGGGAUAACUCCGGGAAACCGGGGCUAAUACCGGAUAACAUUUUGAACCGCAUGGUUCGAAAUUGAAAGGCGGCUUCGGCUGUCACUUAUGGAUGGACCCGCGUCGCAUUAGCUAGUUGGUGAGGUAACGGCUCACCAAGGCAACGAUGCGUAGCCGACCUGGGAGGGUGAUCGGACAAACGGGGCCUGGAACACGGCCCAAGCCCCUAAGGGAGGAAGAAGUAGGGAAUCUUCCGCAAUGGACGAAAGUCUGACGGAGCAACGACGCGUGAGUGAUGAAGGCUUUCAGGUCGUAAAACUCUGUUGUUAGGGAAGAACAAGUGCUAGUUGAAUAAGCUGGCACCUUGACGGUACCUAACCAGAAAGCCACGGCUAACUACGUGCCAGCCGCCGCCGUAA
rnacentral:rRNA from 1 species